AUUGAACGCUGGCGGCAGGCCUAACACAUGCAAGUCGAGCGAUCGGCGGACGUGUGAGUAAUGUAUGGGGUUCUGCCCGAUAGAGGGGGAUAACUACUGGAAACGGUUGCUAAUACCGCAUACUAUCGGCUUACCCCAUAUGGGAUUAGCUAGUAGGUGGGGUAAAGGCUCACCUAGGCGACGAUCUCUAGCUGGUCUGAGAGGAUGAUCAGCCACACUGGGACUGAGACACGGCCCAGACUCCUACGGGAGGCAGCAGUGGGGAAUAUUGCAAAAUGGGCGCAAGACUGAUGCAGACAUGCCGAGUGAAUGAAGAAGGCCUUAGGGUGGAAAAGUACUUUCAGCGGGGAGGCGUUACCCGCAGAAGAAGAACCGGCUAACUCCGUGCCAGCAGCCGCGGUAAUAC
rnacentral:rRNA from 1 species